GACGAACGCUGGCGGCGUGCCUAAUACAUGCAAGUUGAGCGAUGAAGAUUGGUGCUUGCACCAAUUUGAAGAGCAGCGAACGGGUGAGUAACGCGUGGGGAAUCUGCCUUUGAGCGGGGGACAACAUUUGGAAACGAAUGCUAAUACCGCAUAACAACUUUAAACAUAAGUUUUAAGUUUGAAAGAUGCAAUUGCAUCACUCAAAGAUGAUCCCGCGUUGUAUUAGCUAGUUGGUGAGGUAAAGGCUCACCAAGGCGAUGAUACAUAGCCGACCUGAGAGGGUGAUCGGCCACAUUGGGACUGAGACACGGCCCAAACUCCUACGGGAGGCAGCAGUAGGGAAUCUUCGGCAAUGGACGAAAGUCUGACCGAGCAGCGCCGCGUGAGUGAAGAAGGUUUUCGGAUCGUAAAACUCUGUUGGUAGAGAAGAACGUUGGUGAGAGUGGAAAGCUCAUCAAGUGACGGUAACUACCCAGAAAGGGACGGCUAACUACGU
rnacentral:rRNA from 1 species